rnacentral:misc_RNA from 1 species
GUGAAUCAUCGAAUUUUUGAACGCAAAUUGCACUCUCUUCGAAGAGUAUGACUGUUUGAGGGUCAGACUAAGAAAAAUCGACAUUGUUGCUGUUACGCGGUAACAUUCGGCGGAUAUGGGGUCAUCUUAAACCUUUGGGUUUAAGCGGCUUAAAAUUUUCUUUACAAUUCCAAGGACGUUUCUAAGAUUGUAUUUUCUUAUACGUUUAAGGUAUCUAUCUGUAUUAGACGUGGCUGUUGCAUGGGAUCUCG